rnacentral:sRNA from 1 species
GGGGCAGUUAAGGUUUCGACAGGGGUUUUGAAGUCGGAGAAGCUAUCCGCAGGCGAUGCGUCAAAUCGCAAAAUUAAAAUUAAACGCUGAAGAUAAUUUAGCAAUCGCUGCCUAACGGCAGCCGUCAGACCUAGCGUACCUAUCCGUUAGGAUUCUGGCGUCGACGAGAUAGGAAACGGCGUCGUCAAAGCUUUGAGACGGCGUGGCGUGAGGGAGCGAAAGCUCUCAUGAAGCUACCGAAGCCGGAAGGGCGUCAGCCCCCGUCCGGCAAAGGGAAACAAAAUAGGCUGACUAUGAUAGUAGAAGUACGGUGGAUCUGCCUUUGGACACGGGUUCGACUCCCGUCUGCUCCACUA